rnacentral:rRNA from 1 species
GAUGAACGCUAGCGGCAGGCCUAAUACAUGCAAGUCGAGGGGCAGCACGGGUAGCAAUACUUGGUGGCGACCGGCGCACGGGUGCGUAACGCGUAUGCAAUCUACCUAUUACUGGAGAAUAGCCUUCCGAAAGGGAGAUUAAUGCUCCAUAACAUUGCGGUUUGGCAUCAGACUGCAAUUAAAGCUCCGGCGGUAAUAGAUGAGCAUGCGUGACAUUAGCUAGUUGGUGAGGUAAUGGCUCACCAAGGCUACGAUGUCUAGGGGCUCUGAGAGGAUUGUCCCCCACACUGGUACUGAGACACGGACCAGACUCCUACGGGAGCAGCAGUAAGGAAUAUUGGACAAUGGUCGCAAGACUGAUCCAGCCAUGCCGCGUGAAGGAUGACGGCCCUAUGGGUUGUAAACUUCUUUUGUAUGGGAAGAAACCUCCGAACGUGUUCGGAGCUGACGGUACCAUAAGAAUAAGGAUCGGCUAACUCCG